UUUCUAUGUACAUAUGUUUUAUUGGUAGACAGGUUAUGACGGCUGUGUUUCGAUAUUGACUGUAAGGUACUGAAAAUCUAUAAUGUUACAUACGUCAUCACUUUUUCAGUUCUUACAGUGAAUAUCGAAACACAACCUUAGUCUGCUACACUUCGUCGGCUUGGAGUUGGUUUUGGAGUAAUUUUUCCACGCAGUGUUACUCCAAUCCAUUUUGGAGUAAAAUUUAUUAUACGCCGGGCCAAGUCUCUCGACAGUCUCGACAAGGACAAGGAUAUGUUUUUUCAGCGCAUGAAACGCUUGUUCUCCACGUGGAAGGAUGGACAGGUCGGCACCGAUGAUAGUUUCAGUAAAAUGGAUUGUCGCAUUUGUGCCGUUGGCUAUUACGAUCUCUCUUUUGCAGCAAGUCCAUAGCAUUGCGAGCGAUGGAGACUUUGGGAAUGUUUUCUAAAAAAAAAUGCGAGGAAAAUAUGAAGGUGCCUUUAUGGAUACGUGGAGAGCCACUUUGAAGAACGAAAAUCUUUCGAUAUGGUAAACAGGCACAAA
rnacentral:lncRNA from 13 species